rnacentral:rRNA from 1 species
AGUGAACGCUGGCGGUAGGCCUAACACAUGCAAGUCGAACGGCAGCACAGUACUAGCUUGCUCUUACGGGUGGCGAGUGGCGGGCGGGUGCGAAGUACAUCGGAGUCUACUUUUUCGUGGGGGAUGACGUGGGGAAACUUACGCUAAUACCGCAUAGGACGUACGGGGGGAAGCAGGGGAUCUUCCGACCUUGCACGAUUGAAUGAGCCGAUGUCGGAUUAGCUAGUUGGCGGGGUAAAGGCCCACCAAGGCGACGAUCCGUAGCUGGUCUGAGAGGAUGAUCAGCCACACUGGAACUGAGACACGGUCCAGACUCCUACGGGAGGCAGCAGUGGGGAAUAUUGGACAAUGGGCGCAAGCCUGAUCCAGCCAUACCGCGUGGGUGAAGAAGGCCUUCGGGUUGUAAAGCCCUUUUGUUGGGAAAGAAAAGCAGUAGGUUAAUACCUCGCUGUUCUGACGGUACCAAAAGAAUAAGCACCGGCUAACUUCGUG